CAUAGUUUUCUUUUAAGACCCAUUUUAUAGAAAGUCAUGAGUUUGAGGCUCACAGACCUCUUGGCCUGUGCUAUAUGGAGAGGAGACAUGAAACAGAGUUUCACUCUGUAUAAUUUUUUUAAUGUUUUGUAGGCUAGCCAUCAUGGCACAGUUAGAGGUUUCUGGACUGAAAACCUGAACCACUUGCACAUCCCCCUAUCACCGACCCACUUGUAAGAGCUGUUCGGUGCAGAGAAAAUUGGGACUUUCCAGUACAAACGAGGGACUGCGGGUUGAGCUGUCAAAAGCAGGACUGUCCCUCUGAAAACAGGACAGUUAAGAGGAAUGCUAUUGCAGUGGUUGUUACAACUCCAUACAGGCCCGACAGAGAGGUGUCACGUGGAAAUCAGACACAAACACAGCAAUUGGAGCCAGAAUAACUGUGCAGCCAUUACAGUUCUUUCAUUCAUACAGAUAUUUUAGUGCUAGAUCUGCACCUACUCUUUGAAAUAAUCUCUACUUACAGGGGUGACAUGUAUUGGCACACAUUACAUUGUAUAUUAUAGAGGUCAUUUACAACCCAAGGCAGUGUGCAAAGUGCAAAUAAGCAGCCAUAAUGCCGUAUUUGCAUAUCACAUAUUAAGUACUGGCUAUAUAAUAUUUAAUAAACAUUAAUUACUUUCA